UGUUUGGAGACUGUAACUGGCCUGUCUCUCACGUCCUCCUGAUCAGAAGAAAGAUAACUUUUUGUCCGUUAUUUGUGCAACUAUUCCAGCAAGUUAGGUGAUAAACCUAACAUUUUCUUGGUCCUUUGAGCCGGAUUCCAAGAUACCUGAGGAUCCCAGCUUCAGAGUCGAUUUCCAGGAAAACCGUGGCCACGGCAACACAGACCCGUUAAGGGACUGGUUCUCGAACUUUCUAACUGGGAUCUGAGAGUUGACGUAAAUCGAACUGACAAGAAGACGUCAUGGUGGGGGAGAUGCAUCCUUUAAUGGUGAAGAAUGACCGUGACGACGAUGAUGAUGAUUUUCUAUUCUCCGUGUCUGGAGGGGGACAGGUGCUCUUCCUGUUAGUUGGCUUGACAAUCAUAAUGGCAAAAGCUCAUCCAAUGAUUAGCUCCAGAAUGAUCAAAGACAGUCCGAAGUUACCUCAGAAGAUAUACAAUUGGCCGCAUCCAUCUUUGGACCUCCCCUUGGUUACUCCCGAAGGCAAAGGUCCUCUUGGAAAGAUGGAGAUCCGACAUACAUUGAUGCAAAUGGCAUUCCACGAGGCAUACCAGAUGAGUAUAAGUUGGCUAACCAGAUUGCUGCGGGAUGGGAAUCCAUCUUGUUAUGGAUAACUCCAAAUAAAAACGUUGACAGAAUCAUAUAUUACAAUGUACAGAAACUAGGUAAUUAUAUGGAAGUAGACUUCAUUGCCAUAAUGGAACAACCAGCUGCAACCUCAGACAUGAUGUUCCAGAACCGCAUAGCGGUCGACAUGCUCCUGGCCGAGAAGGGUGGCAACUGCUCAAUGUUCGGUGACCAGUGUUGUUUAUUCCAAAUAUCACAGUACCUGAUGGGUCACUCACAAGGGCCAUUCAAGACCUCCGCACCGUGAACCACAAGAUGAAGGAGCACUCUGGUGUAAAACCAUCAGCUUGGUCUAAGUGGUGGGUAAAAAAAAGGUUUGGCAAAUCUAAAAAUUUGG